rnacentral:rRNA from 1 species
CCUACGGGAGGCUGCAGUGAGGAAUAUUGGUCAAUGGCCGGAAGGCUGAACCAGCCAAGUCGCGUGAAGGACGAAUGUGCCAAGGAUUGUAAACUUCUUUUGUCAGGGAGCAAAGUCACCCACGUGUGGGUGUUGGAGAGUACCUGAAGAAAAAGCAUCGGCUAACUCCGUGCCAGCAGCCGCGGUAAUACGGAGGAUGCGAGCGUUAUCCGGCUUUAUUGGGUUUAAAGGGUGCGUAGGCGGGUUAUUAAGUCAGCGGUAAAAUCGUGGAGCUCAACUCCGUCCAGCCGUUGAAACUGAUGAUCUUGAGUGGGCGAGAAGUAUGCGGAAUGCGUGGUGUAGCGGUGAAAUGCAUAGAUAUCACGCAGAACUCCGAUUGCGAAGGCAGCAUACCGGCGGCCGACUGACGCUGAAGCACGAAAGCGUGGGUAUCGAACAGGAUUAGAUACCCUAGUAGUC